rnacentral:lncRNA from 1 species
AUCUGAUUCUGCGUAACAGCAUUCUAAGCUCAGACCUUCCAAGAAGGAGAUAGACCUGGUCAGGAGUUUUUCUGAGGGCAAUUUUACGAUACUCUCCUUUUAUUUUUCCUCCCCUGUUUAUAAGAGAAAGAGUUCAUAAGAUCGUGAUAUAUAGACCUCUGGAAUUUCAUGGGACUGACCACCUCAGUUUUCAAGGCUCAAGUUUUUAGGCAUUUAACAAAAUUAUUUUGUUUUGCACACUUACAUAGCACUAGAUGCCAGG